GGCUGCUAGAUGCUCGAAUGGGCCGAUUGGGUCACGCAACCCCUUCUGGGGUACGGGACCUGAACGCGGGUUGUCUUGGCCGCAUGCCUCGCGUACUUCCUCAUGUGGGUUAGGUUCCUACAUGUGUGGGUGGGUUCUCCUGCACACAUGAUGGUUGCCUACACAUGUGCCAAAGGGAUGUCACAUGGGCAACGCAUGUUAUCCACCAUUCUCUUUUCGUACUUGGCCCAUUUUGACCAUGUGGUCUUUGGGCCAUCUUGGGUUGGGCCAUAAAUGGGCCUUUUUCUUUCCUUGUAACUUCUCAAAGCCCAUAAAGCAUUACUUGGGCUUC
rnacentral:lncRNA from 1 species